AAAGGUCGUGCCUUAGGGCACUGUGCAGAGAAGGGAAAAAGAGAAACAGAAAAAGAAACAGCUUGCUCAGCAAAAGCAAGAAAUAAUAGUUUUCAGGCUUUGGCUGGUAGGCCAGAGGACUGCAGGAAUCAGGAAUCCAAAAGAGGAGGCCUGGACGAAGGGUCUGUAAACAGUAAUUUUCAACCUGGCCGCACACUAGAAUUAACAAGGGGAACUUUUAGAAAAUACCCGUUUCUCAUUUCCACUCCCCCAAAGAUUCUAAUUCCUUGGUGGGGAGGAGGGGGGGUUGCUGAGCAACAACAGUUUCAUAAAGUCUCUCCAGAAAUUCUAAUUCUCAGCCGGGGAAAGAAUCUGUGGGCAGAAGGUGACCACGUCCCGGAAUGGAAUUUAUGGCAGAAGAUAAGACAUAACUUUCUUCGAAUAGAACCUUCCUCUGGAAACCAGCACCUGAUGGGAGAACAGUGGAGUCUGACCCUAACAGUCAAUUCUCCAAGAUGUAAGGACGUAUUUCUAGUUUGUGGCUUUGCCUCCAAUGAUCCGUCAGUUAGAGGCAACCCUCCUGGGAAGUAUCUUUCCAAUGAGGAUUGCUAUAAACAUUCCUAGAGCACUCUGCUUGCCAGAAUAUUUAGGCAAAUCUGAAAAAAUAAAGAUCAAUAAAUAAAAAAAUCA
rnacentral:lncRNA from 1 species